AUGCUUGCUUUGGAGCACAUAUACUAAAAUUGGAAUGAUACUGAAAAGAUUAGCAUGGCCCCUGUGCAAGGAUGACACGCAAAUUCGUGAAGAGUUCCUGAAAAAC